rnacentral:rRNA from 1 species
AUUGAACGCUGGCGGCAUGCCUUACACAUGCAAGUCGAACGGUAACAGGUCUUCGGAUGCUGGCGAGUGGCGAACGGGUGAGUAAUACAUCGGAACGUGCCUAGUAGUGGGGGAUAACUACUCGAAAGAGUGGCUAAUACCGCAUGAGAUCUACGGAUGAAAGCAGGGGAUCGCAAGACCUUGUGCUACUAGAGCGGUCGGUGGCAGGUUAGGUAGUUGGUGGGAUAAAAGCUUACCAAGCCGACGAUCUGUAGCUGGUCUGAGAGGACGCUCAGCCACACUGGGACUGAGACACGGCCCAGACUCCUACGGGAGGCAGCAGUGGGGAAUUUUGGACAAUGGGCGCAAGCCUGAUCCAGCAAUGCCGCGUGCAGGAUGAAGGCCUUCGGGUUGUAAACUGCUUUUGUACGGAACGAAAAGCCCUGGGUUAAUACCCUGGGGUCAUGACGGUACCGUAAGAAUAAGCACCGGCUAACUACGUGCCAGCCGCCGCCGUAACAC